rfam:Ictidomys tridecemlineatus contig086348, whole genome shotgun sequence.
UGGAGUAUAGCUCAGUGGUAAAAGCUUUUGCCUGUUAUGCAUGAAGGCCUGGGUUUGGUCCCCAAGCACUGCAA